rnacentral:rRNA from 1 species
UACGAAGGGGGCGAGCGUUGUUCGGAUUUACUGGGCGUAAAGGGCGCGCAGGCGGCCAUUCAAGUCAGGCGUGAAAGCCCCGGGCUUAACCUGGGAGGUGCGUCUGGGACUGGGUGGCUAGAGAUCGGGAGAGGAGAGUGGAAUUCCCAGUGUAGAGGUGAAAUUCGUAGAUAUUGGGAAGAACACCGGUGGCGAAGGCGGCUCUCUGGACCGAUACUGACGCUGAGGCGCGAAAGCGUGGGUAGCAAACAGG